UGAGGUAGUAGGUUAUAUAGUUUGGAGAUACACUCAAUGGCGAUAGCUAUACAGCCUGCUAGCUUUCC
rnacentral:pre_miRNA from 1 species